rnacentral:hammerhead_ribozyme from 2 species
AUGCGAAACGGACCUCGUUCAAUGAACGAGAUCCGUCGUCCCGGGGUGGCUCCCGGGGCCUGAAGAUGCAGCCACGG